AACGAACGCUGGCGGCAUGCCUAACACAUGCAAGUCGAACGAGACCUUCGGGUCUAGUGGCGCACGGGUGCGUAACGCGUGGGAACCUGCCCUUAGGUUCGGAAUAACUCCCCGAAAGGGGUGCUAAUACCGGAUAAUGUCUUCGGACCAAAGAUUUAUCGCCUUUGGAUGGGCCCGCGUUGGAUUAGCUAGUUGGUAGGGUAAAAGCCUACCAAGGCGACGAUCCAUAGCUGGUCUGAGAGGAUGAUCAGCCACACUGGGACGGAGACACGGCCCAGACUCCGACGGGAGGCAGCAGUGGGGAAUAUUGGACAAGGGGCGAAAGCCUGAUCCAGCAAUGCCGCGUGAGUGAUGAAGGCCUUAGGGUUGUAAAGCUCUUUUACCCGGGAUGAUAAUGACAGUACCGGGAGAAUAAGCUCCGGCUAACCCCG
rnacentral:rRNA from 1 species